UACGGAGGAUUCAAGCGUUAUCCGGAUUUACUGGGUGUAAAGGGAGCGUAGACGGCGCGGCAAGUCUGAAGUGAAAGGCAGGGGCUUAACCCCUGAACUGCUUUGGAAACUGCCAUGCUAGAGUGCUGGAGAGGUAAGUGGAAUUCCUAGUGUAGCGGUGAAAUGCGUAGAUAUUAGGAGGAACACCAGUGGCGAAGGCGACCUGCUAGAACAUAACUGACGCUGAUGCGCGAAAGCGUGGGGAGCAAACAGG
rnacentral:rRNA from 1 species